GAAAUGCGAUAAGUAAUGCGAAUUGCAGAAUUUCCGUGAGUCAUCGAAUCUUUGAACGCACAUUGCGCCCACUGGUAUUCCGGUGGGCAUGCCUGUUCGAGCGUCAUUAUCCUCCCUCAAACCCCGGGUUUGGUGUUGGACCCAAGUUUUUGGCUAUUAAAAACUUGGUCCUAAAGACAAUGACGGCGUCCGUGGGACCCUCGGUGCAACGAGCUUUUAGGAGCACGCGUCGAGUUUUUAAAGGUUCCUUCGGGCCGGUCUAACCCCCUUUUUUCUAAGGUUGACCUCGGAUCAGGUAGGAAUACCCGCUGAACUUAAGCA
rnacentral:misc_RNA from 1 species